UACGUAGGGUGCAAGCGUUGUCCGGAAUUAUUGGGCGUAAAGAGCUCGUAGGCGGUUUGUUGCGUCGGCUGUGAAAUCCCGAGGCUCAACCUCGGGUCUGCAGUCGAUACGAGCAAACUAGAGUGUUGCAGGGGAGACUGGAAUUCCUGGUGUAGCGGUGAAAUGCGCAGAUAUCGGGAAGAACACCCGUGGCGAAGGCGGCUCUCUGGAACGCAACUGACGCUGAGACGCGAAAGCGUGGGGAGCAAACAGG
rnacentral:rRNA from 1 species